CCGUGAGGUGUUGGGUUAAGUCCCGCAACGAGCGCAACCCUCGUCGUUAGUUGUAUUUCUCUAGCGAGACCGCUGCGUACAACGCAGAGGAAGGUGGGGACGAUGUCAAGUCAGCGUGGCCCUUACGCCCAGGGCGACACACACGCUACAAUGGCCGGUACAACGGGCAGCCACUGCGCGAGCAGGAGCGAAUCCCUCAAAACCGGCCCCAGUUCGGAUAGCAGGCUGAAACUCGCCUGCUUGAAGCCGGAGUUGCUAGUAACCGCAGGUCAGCCAUACUGCGGUGAAUACGUUCUCGGGCCUUGUACACACCGCCCGUCACGUCAUGGGAGUGAGUAACACUUGAAGUCGGUGCGCGAACCUUCGGGACGCAGCCGCCGAAGGUGGGACUCGCAACUGGGACGAAGUCGUAACAAGGUAGCCGUAGCGGAAGCUGCGGCUGGAUCACCUCCUUU
rnacentral:rRNA from 1 species